rnacentral:rRNA from 1 species
UACGGAGGGUGCAAGCGUUAUCCGGAUUCACUGGGUUUAAAGGGUGCGUAGGUGGAUUGGUAAGUCAGUGGUGAAAUCUCCGGGCUUAACCCGGAAACUGCCAUUGAUACUAUCAGUCUUGAAUACUGUGGAGGUUAGCGGAAUAUGUCAUGUAGCGGUGAAAUGCUUAGAUAUGACAUAGAACACCAAUUGCGAAGGCAGCUGGCUACACAAUUAUUGACACUGAGGCUCGAAAGCGUGGGGAUCAAACAGG